CCUCCUUUCUAAGGAUGAACAAAAAGAUAUUGCUUUUUGAUCUAAAAAAUACACAGGUUAAUGUUGACCGUCCUCAUUUCUCUUCUUAAAAAGUGUUUCGGACUUACAAAAAUAUGUAGGGGCCGGUAGCUCAGUUGGUUAGAGCGCACCCCUGAUAAGGGUGAGGUCGGAAGUUCGAAUCUUCCUCGGCCCACCAUAACUUAACUGGGGGAUUAGCUCAGCUGGGAGAGCGCCUGAUUUGCAUUCAGGAGGUCAGCGGUUCGAUCCCGCUAUCCUCCACCAUGAAGCACUUAGAUCUUUAAAAUUGUAAAUAUUAUUAUUAUCAAUAUCUAUAUCCGAACAUUAAUUAUUUUAUUAAUGUUCAAAUAAAAAUUUGAUUAGAACACAGAAAUUUUUUCUGUGCAUAAAUCAAGCGUUUAAGGACGUGUGGCGGAUGCCUCGGCACUGAAAGACGAUGAAGGACGUGGUAUACUGCGAUAAGUUUCGGGGAGCUGUAUGCAAGCUUUGAUCCGAAGAUUCCGA
rnacentral:misc_RNA from 1 species